CUUUUUCGGCAACCCCUGCCAGCGAGCCGCUGAAGGUGGGCAUCAUUGGAGGUGGCCACCUCGGGAAGCAGCUGGCUCAAGUGCUGCUCCGGUUUGUCCCCCUCCCUGCUGAAAGCCUGCGGAUCUCUACUCGGAGGCCAGAGGCCCUGGGUUUAUGAGUAUCCAGAUAACCUCAACAUCAAAUUUAUCAUGUACUCUUGGUCGUUAAGAUAAGAAUUCACCUCUCC
rnacentral:lncRNA from 1 species